CAGGCCUGUUCUGCCCCUCACCCUACCAUCAAUGAACAGGCUGGGGGUGCCAAGACACCUGACCAGGUGACCAAAGGGAUAUCCCACACCAUGUGGUGUCAUGCUCAGCAAUAAAGUUGGGGAAAUAGGAAGGAAGGGGAGGACAGACAGAGUUUGCCUUCACAAGUCACUGUUUUGCUUAUGGGAGCCUGGUUUUCCUGGAGAUGUCAGAACCCCUGUCCAUUGCAAGUGGUUUUCCUCCACUUCUCUCACCCAUCCCACCAAAGGGGAGGGAAUGAGUGACUGCAUGGGGUUGAGUUGCAAGCUGGGCAACGGCCACCACAUGGUACAUCUCUUGUUUUCUCUACUGUGAAAGUGAACCGAGCCUUUGGCGUUGGAGCUGGAUUGUCUGCUCUGGUGAAACGAUGACGCCUGAUUGAAUUUCCUCUUCGACCUGACAGAUUGCAUGGACCAGCUCGUCUGUCCAAGUGUGCCAUUGGAAUCAGCUCCUGGC